UACGUAGGGUGCGAGCGUUACUCGGAAUUACUGGGCGUAAAGCGUGCGCAGGCGGUUCGUUGUGUCGGUGGUGAAAUCCCCGGGCUUAACCUGGGAAUGGCCAUGGAAACUGGCGAACUGGAGUGUGGCAGAGGGGGGUGGAAUUCCGCGUGUAGCAGUGAAAUGCGUAGAGAUGCGGAGGAACACCGAUGGCGAAGGCAGCCCCCUGGGCUGACACUGACGCUCAGGCACGAAAGCGUGGGGAGCAAACAGG
rnacentral:rRNA from 1 species